rnacentral:lncRNA from 10 species
AUCUAGCCAGAGAUGGAACAUUCCUACCUGGAAAAGGGAAGAGUAAAAACAAGUAGAGAGUGUAUAAUGCACAGCAGAAUUCUAAGAUAGACGUCCAAGAUUCCUGUCCUCUGGUUAUUCAAUCAAAUACUAUCCAGGUUCUGCUAUAAAGAGAUUUUGAAGAUAUGAAGUUCCAAAUUGGUUGACCCUAAGCUACAGAGAAUCACAUGAGCCCUUUAAAAGCAACAUUUUCUCUGGCUGGUAGAGAGGAUGAAAUCAGAGAGACUUGAAGCCUGAAAAUAAUUUGAUGCACAAUUGUUGACUUUGAAGACAGAAGGGUCACAUGCAAGGAACAAAGAGCAACCUCUAAAAGCUAAGAGAGACUCCCUGCCAACAGCCAGCAAGGAAACGGUGGCCUCAGUCCCACAACGGCAAGUAAUUAAAGUCUAUCAACAACCUGAAUGAGCCCCGCAAGUCCAACACCUUUAUUUCCACCUUUUGAGACCCUAAACAGUGAACUCGGUCAAGCCAUGCCAAAUUUCUGACCUACAGAACUGUUACUUAAUAAAUUAAUGUUGUUCAAGCCACUAACUUUGUGGUAAAUUGUUGCACAGCAAUAGAUAACUUAUACACUAUUCCAAUGUGCCAUGUUUCUUUUGUCUCUAAUAUUUUCAUGCAGUUUUGUACAAAGAUUCAAAAUCUGACUCACAAAGAGAAACAGUGAGGCCACCAGGUGACAAUCAGAAGAGCUCUGUUGACCAUCCCGAUGAUCAUUUAUUGGGUUAUGAUGAUCUGUAUAGGAAAAUGACUCACUCAGCUUUAAUAACAAGCCAAAAUAGAAGAAUCAGCAGAACCGUCUAACUAAAAUGACUAACAAUCAUUUUCUAGAUUGAAAUGCAUAUUAGGAAGUUUUA